rnacentral:rRNA from 1 species
UACGUAGGGUGCGAGCGUUGUCCGGAAUUAUUGGGCGUAAAGAGCUCGUAGGCGGUCUGUCGCGUCUGCUGUGAAAACCCGAGGCUCAACCUCGGGCCUGCAGUGGGUACGGGCAGACUAGAGUGCGGUAGGGGAGAAUGGAACUCCUGGUGUAGCGGUGGAAUGCGCAGAUAUCAGGAGGAACACCGGUGGCGAAGGCGGUUCUCUGGGCCUGUACUGACGCUGAGGAGCGAAAGCGUGGGGAGCGAACAGG